AAGGCAGUCGGUUGCCAGGCAACAAGGAAGCGGCUCUCCGCUCCCAAUCAACUGCCAGCUUUUGACUGAAAGUGGGAAAAGGAGAUGCACAUGGGUUGAGUCGUCCUUCGGUUAGGCAGACGGGACAAUGGAACCAAGUAAAACAGGAGGAAGAAGCCAGCCAGCCACUGUGCGCUGCUCUAUCUUCCCCAGAAAGUGCGUUUCUGACCUUCUUGCACAUCAGACUCUAGCUUUAGACUGAAUGUGGCUGGAUCGUCCAUCCCUCUCGUGACGAGUCUUCUGGCUUUUUGCAUUUGAGCAUUUGCUGGCUCUUCAGUGUGCAGCCAGCCAUUUGUGGAUUAUCUGACUUCUGAUGAUGCAAGGCAAUGCAAUGAAUGCCCCCUUCAAAUAUCAUGUACACUUUGCUUCAAUUUGAUCCCUCUCAGCCAC